CGGGCUUGAACUGCCAGCGAACGAUCCAGAGAUGGUGAGGCCCCUCGGGGCGCCGGUGGAGGUGCUGCAUGGUU
rnacentral:rRNA from 1 species